rnacentral:lncRNA from 1 species
AGGAACCAUGUGCGUUGACAAAUAAAAGUUCCAUUUUUUUAGGUUUUUUGGCAUUUUAAUGAGGUAUAAAUAAGGUAAUAAAGAGGAUAAGUAGCAAUCAUAAUAGAAUAGCACAAAAUUACCCAAAAGAACACCAUUGAAGGGGAUUUCCAAGCAAUUCGCCAUCAAGAUUCAAGAGUCCAAGUUGAUUUCUAAGGGAGUUAUCAUGGGUUUCUUUUAUUUUAGUGGUUAUAUUGUAUUUUUUGUGUUUCAUCUUGCAAGUAUGAAUUAACUUUCUAAAUACUUAGGGGAGAUGAACCCUAGGAUGGAUUCUAUUGUUUGAUUUCUAGUUUUAUGCAAUAAAACCUUAGUUCUUUGUUUUCAAUUAUGAAUGCUUAAUUGUUCUUGGGUUGAUAAUUCUAGAGUAUUAAUCCUUGUUUGAUGUGCAUGAGUUUGAGGUUGAAUAGACUCUCCUUAUGAUUAAAUCUUGUAUAAUUGGAUGGAAUUGCAUGCAAUCGUAAAAAUAAGACAACAUAAAUCUAUCGAAUUAGAGUCAAAUCUAAUAUGGGGAUCCAUAGAGCAUUUUAAUGCAAUAAUAGAGGUUUUAAUUAGAAAGAAAUUUUAAUUAAUCAACCUAAAGUUAGUCGCUCUUAUGCUCCAAAAAGAUAUUAGCAUAAAUUAGGGAUUUCUACGGAUCAAAGAACUAAGAGCAAAAGUUGCAUAAAUUAGAUUUAGAAUUAUAGAUGAAAUCUAGGUGGAUUCUUACCUAGGAAUAGUUUUGUCACUUGAUUGAUAUUUUAUUAUUUUUGUGAUUUAUUUCUUUACCACACUCGUUAGUUAAUUUAGUUAGUUAAUUUUAGUUUUAAUAAAUCUUUUUAAUUAUUAGGUUAAACAAUAGGAAGACGAUAAUUACUAGUAAUUGUAGUCUUUAAGGGAACGAUAUUUGUGCUCACCAUAACUAUACUAUGAAUUGAUAGGUGCACUUGCCUUAGUCGAUUUAUUAGUUAGUUUAAUGGACAUCAGAAUGGGUAUGAAGGACUAAAAUGCAAACUUUGCAAACUUUAUCAAUUCUGAGAACUUAAACAAAAACUCAAUAUGCUUGUGGUGUAUAAUAAUAAGUGAGUGAUAUGAAUGAUUUAUAUGCUUAAUUUUAAAUUGGUUUGGUUGCAUUUGAAAGUUGUAUGCAGGGACUUAGAGGUAAAAGUUAUAAAAUUGGCAAAGAAAACUUAAAAUUUCAAACUGGGAUACAGUUCUUAAAAUUUAUACGGGCCAACCACAUAGCUGUGUGGCAGACACGAGAUGUGACACGACUGUGUGGCAGACACGGGCUAUGACAUGGUUGUGUGAAUAAUGGAAGCAAAUAUUUUUGGAACCACACGGUUCUCGAGAUCCAUGCAGCCCGAGGACACAACCGUGUGCCCUGUUUUUCAAAAUAAUCCUUAUUUGAAUACUAUCUUAAAUGCAAAGAUGUUUUUUUUUUAAUUAUCGAGUUCAUCCCUAAUCUUGGUAAUUAACUAAAAAUAUUCAACAAGUGAUAAUUUUACUUUGAACAAAAUGUCAAAGUCUAUUAUUCUGGCAAUCAAUAUAACAUUCAUAUACUUGAUUCGAUUGUUGUGUUGGGUAUAAGGGUGUUAUAUAUAUGAUGAUUAAGAGAUGUUCAGUAAUCUUAAGAUGUUGUUCAAAGAGAAAUUAUUAGGAUCCAUCGUUAUGUUACAGACAACGAAUGUUUCUUAUCAUUGUAAAGAUAUCGAAGUUCAUGAUGUGACUGGCAACACUAUAAAUAAGGUUAUUAGGAUUGAUUAUAAUAUUGAGAAUUGCGACCCUUGAAUGCUAGUGGAGAGGCACCCAAAGAGGUCCAACAAAAAAUCUAAUGAAAACAUUUAUUAGGAUUAAAUUUAUGAUAGUCGAUAAAUAAUUCUCCAAAGAUAAGAUAAAGAUACAAAAUGAAAAAAAAAAGGUCAAAUUCUAUUAUUAGGCCUUGUACUUUACAUAAGUUGUGGAUUUAGCAUCUAUAGUUUAAUUUAGUCAUUUCUAGUUCUAGUACUUUUAGAAAUUGAAAAUUUUAGUUCUGAUUAAAUGGUAACUAUUAAAUUCAUUUAGUUAAUUUAUGUUAUUUUCAAAAUUUAAUACGCUAAACAUAUUAUUGCAUGUUUAAUGCUAUUUUAACUUGUUAUUUCCAUAUAUUUACUCACAAAAAAAAUCAGUUAAUAGAUUUAGUAAUUGUCAUUUGCAUUAAGACUAAAAUUUUAAAAUUAAAAAAAAAUAGAGAUUAAGAAUGAUCCACUUGAAAAUAUUGACUAAAUUUAUAAAUAUACACAUAAUACAUGAAUAAUAGCAUAUUUAAUCAAACAGAUUUAACAGCUAUCAUUUAAUCAGGACUAAAAUUUUAAAAUUCAAGAAGUAUAAGGACUAAAAUUGAUCAAAUUAACAAAACUGCACAACUUAUACAGGGUCUAAUAGCAGAAUUUGACCAAAACAAUAACAAUAAUGGGCCACAGCUGAGCAUUUCAAAAUGCGGCCCAAUUUAUAACUACAAUAAUGCACACUACUAUGCUUUCGGCUCAAAUCAACCAAAUUUUACACUGAACCGACUGAAAACCCUUUUCCCAAUAGAACCAAACCCCGUGACCCGUGAUGGAGGAGAAACGCCGGGAUGCGGUUAACUCCCCGGCGGAGCCGGAGCUGGCAUCAACUCGCCGUCGGGGUGGAGCGCUGAAGAGAAAAGUUAAUUCGCUUUCCGGGUCUAGUUCUUCAUCAACUCCGUCGAAACGGGUUACUCGGGAGAAGUCAAACUUGAUCUCCCACUCUCCCGUUAACCAUUACGGUCCGUUAACCAGGGCUCGCCAAGGGGCGCCUAGUGGAAACCUAGCCUUGGGUUCGAGUUCGGGAUCGGGUGGCGCGAAGCUUGAGGAGACGAAUUUGGUGAAGCAAAGUGUAAAGGCGGAAGAUUUGGAAGAAUUAAAGGCAAGUGAAGAGUUGGAGGCUUUGGAAGCUAAGAUUGAGGCUGAUUUUGAGGCUAUUAGGUCUCGUGAUAGUAAUGCGCAUGUUGUUCCUAAUCAUUGCGGUGAGUUUUUUCUUUUCCCCUUUUUCUUUUCCUUGUUUGGUUGAUGAGAAAAUUGGCAGGAAAGGGAAUGAAGGGUGAACUAUUUGUUUUACAGCUUUAGUGAGGUGAAUUCUUUCUUGGGAGGUAGUGAAUUGGAGAAAUUAUGUGGAAUUUUUUUUCGUUUUCUGUUGAUUUAGAGUUCAAUUUAGUUUGUAUUGUAGUUUUUUGUCUCAAUUGUGGAAAACAAGAAGAAAAAUAUUGAAUUUGUUUUCUUGAGUAGUUAAUUUGAGAGUUUAUUUCUUUAUUUUUUUUCUAUAUGCUAUAUGAAUUCCAAGUCUUUUUUAUGGUAUUCACAAUGAAAUGGUACAUAAAUAUUCAUCCAGUUUGUUCUGCUCAUUUCUUAUCAGCCAUGCAUGAGAAUUAGACCUUGCAAUAUUAGACACGAUAUGCAAAACGUAAGUAAAAUAUUACAUAGAGCCCAAAAAAAAAAAAAAAAAUCCAUACUACACUAAUACAUAAAUGUCUCAGAAUCCACUUAAACAUGAAUAUGACAUAGGAAAAAACACGAUUAGGUCACAGUACUCAAGCUGCAAAGAGAAUGUUGAUCUUAUUUUCAUUAGCAGAGAGCAAACUAGGGCUAAUAAUUGACUUCAUUGGAAGCAUCUUAUUUUGAAGCUAUAAAUAUUGAAAAAGAAGAAACUGAACCAUAAGAUUCUUUGGUGUUUCCUCAUGUUGUUGGUUUUUGUUUUCAUCUUCUCUUUGUACCUAUAGGAUGGUUUUCAUGGAAAAAAAUUCACCAUCUGGAAGAGAGUAUCUUGCCUUCUUUCUUUAAUGGGAAAUCCCCAAAUCGUACCCCCGCUGCAUACAUGGAGAUUCGCAAUUGGAUUGUGAAGAAAUUUCAUGCAAAUCCAAGCAAGCAGAUUGAGUUGAAAGAUCUGGAAGAUCUUGAAGUCGGUGACUUGGAUGCAAGGCAGGAGGUAUUGGAGUUCCUGGACUACUGGGGUUUGAUUAAUUUUCAUCCAUUCCCUCCGGCUGGUUCUGCUGUGCCUAAUCCCAAUGGGGAUGGGGAUGGAGAUGCGAUGACAGAAAAGGAUUCUUUGCUUCAAAAAUUGUUUCACUUUGACGAAAUUGAAUCACGCCCACAAGUUGUUACCAAGCCUAACCUUUCAAGCCCAUCUCUACCAUCUGGGCUACUUCCAGAAUCUGCGGUUGCUGAGGACUUGAUGAAUCCGGAGGGGCCAUCUGUUGAGUACCAUUGCAACUCUUGUUCAGCUGAUUGCUCUAGGAAACGCUACCAUUGCCAGAAGCAGGUUAGUUACUGAAUACUGACUAAUAAAUAAUUGUAUGAGCCUCAAAUUAUUUAGAUCACUAUGAAGAGAAAAAUAACUGCACUAAUCUUUCUGAGUAUCCUUAUGGUGGUAGUCAAUGUUUCUACAUUUCCUGCAUUGAACUGAUACAUGCUUACUUCUACAAAAUCAUUUUGUAUGACAUCUUCAGCUCAAGCCAAGUGAUAAAUAAAACUGGAAUCCACAAACUUUCUUUGCUAUUGAUCUUUGUCCAACAAAUAAGAAAUCAGCAUAAAUGGUUUGCGCCACCUGCACAAUCUGAUAUGCACGGCUUUCAAUCUUUGAAUAAUGUGAAUGAUUAAAAUGGGAACAAUAACUAAUUUAGUAAAUCUGUUUUAUUUAUUGACUUAUUGUUCCAUUCUUUAUGAUCCAAUUAUGUUUGUAUUUGGCAGGCAGAUUUUGACUUAUGUACUGAUUGCUUUAACAAUGGGACAUUCGGUUCUGGCAUGUCUUCAUCGGAUUUUAUUCUCAUGGAACCUGCUGACCCUGGUCUUAGUGGUGGCAAGUGGACAGAUCAGGAAACCCUCCUCCUUCUUGAGGCACUUGAACUUUAUAAAGAAAACUGGAAUGAGAUUGCAGAGCAUGUUGCUACGAAAACAAAAGCACAAUGCAUACUGCAUUUCGUUCAAAUGCCAAUUGAGGAUGUAUUUUUUAAUUGUGAUGAUAAUAACAUAGACACGAAUUCAAAAGAAACUGCUGGCCCAGCUGCCAUGAAUGAUGAAACAACUGUCGCUAAAGAAGUCUCGGAAACAACAGAGAGUAAGACUACUCAAGAAGAUCAGGCCAAGACUAAGCCGAUGGAAACUUCAAAACCUGAAGAUGAAAAAGAAGUCGGGGGUAGUGAGGAACCAUCAGAAACCAAAACUGGAACUGAUGUAAAAGGUGUUAAAGAAACAUUAAAGCCAGAAGAAAUGAAUGUACCUAAAGAUGGACUAGAAGCAACUGAAAAUUGUGCCCUUACGGCACUAAGGGAGGCAUUUGAAGCUGUUGGUUAUAAUUUAACAUCCGAAAGCAAACUUUCAUUUGCUGAUGUAGGAAAUCCUGUCAUGGCACUGGUAAGUUGAAUGUGUAAGUAUUUAGUUUAGGUUUUAUUGAUUGAUGUAUAUGAAGGGAAAACUGACUUCAUUUACAGAUCUAAAUUUAUCCAUUUUGUACAUGGCUUCUGAAAUAGUAUUCUCAUCCUCCUCUUAUUCCACCGUUCAUCAUUUACCUCAUCUAUUUGUUGUUGAUAUGUUACAAACAUAGUGUUGCUCCAUUUGCAGGCAGGAUUCUUUGCUCAUCUGGUUGGACCCAACAUUGCUGCUGCUUCAGCCCAGAGUUCACUUAAAUCAUUAUCUGGUACUUGUCCAAACAUUCAACUGGCUGCCAGGAACUGCUUUGUUUUGGAAGAUCCACCAGAUGAGAAGGAACCAACAUGUUCUAAGAGGUAUGUUAACCUAUGCCAAGCUUAUAUUUACUUAGCAAUUUGUGAACGUUAUCUGAUGUCAGUUAGAGACACACAGUGUUGCCAAUGAUACGGGUAAUCGGGGUGCUCAGAAUGUGAAACACUCAGAAGACGAAAGCCUCAAGGGGGAUCAGAAAAUUUCAUUGAGCAACCAUGGUGACGAAAACACUGAAGUUUCUCUUCGUGAAGAGAAUGCGACAUCACCUUCACCCAAUGACCUAACCACGGAUAAAAAAGAGUCAACCAAUUUUGCCACUAAUGAGGAAGAUAAAAAAGCUAAUUUGAAUGAAUCCAGCAUUAUUAAUCAAUCAAAGGAUCAUCAACCAAGUGUAACAAGGGUAUCAAAUACCAUAACAUCCCAGGUUCUACCAAGUACUCUAGAGGAGACAGGUGGGAAGGGAACAGCUAAAGAACCUUCUCAGCCUCCAAAAGCAGUGAAGGAAGUAGAUAUGUCUGAUUCUGUUCAACUGAAAAAGAAUGAGCCUUGUGAUGCUGCUGCAUCAAAGCCAGUGGGAGAGCUAUCUGAACCAGCAGAUGCAUCAGAAAAUCUAGAGACAGCUUCCUGCUCUCCAUCCAGAUCAAAGAAUGAGCAAAAAACUGUUAAACCAAGCCCUGAUGGGGAAUCUACGGAGCCUGCAGAGGCAUCAAAUGAUGUUCAAAUGGUGUCUGUUUCACAACCAUCUGAAAGGAGGGAAACUCCACAGCCAGUCUCAUCGAAUUCAGUAAAUGAAAAUGGAGUAAUGACAGGUUUCUCUCUUUUUCUUCUAUAAAUAUCUUGUUAGAAAGUGGAAGCCGCAUUAACAGAAUCUAACUCUACUGCAAAAUGCUUAGCAAUAUCUUAUGGGAAUAUGUAGGGAUAGAUAGCGUCUGAUUUAAAAUAUACAAAGAAGGCUAAAAGGAACAGUUGGUUCUAUAAGGUUGAGUGUUUGUUAUCUUUAUUGGUUUUAGAUAGAGCAGGUAGGAAAAUUGAAACAUGAUACAUAAUGGUGUUUUUACAAGGUUCUGUAGAAGUAUGUAUUCUAAGAACCACCUGCUGGCAAAUUGCAUAGAUCAAUUUUGGGUGUAUCUUAUUGUUCUUUGCAGACAAGAUCGAAGAAGGUAAAAGCAAGAACCAUGACUCUACAGAGAGAGAAGAUAACAGUAGCAUUGAUAAAUUAAAGCGAGCUGCAGUUACAGCACUCUCAGCAGCAGCAGUGAAGGCAAAACUUCUAGCAGACCAGGAAGAGGACCAAAUCCGACAACUUACCACAUCAUUAAUAGAAAAGCAGGUAGGUUAGUUGCUAAAUAUAUGCAGUCUGUUUUUCCUAUGCACAUCCAACUGGAGCAAUGUCUAACGUUUUAGAAGCUUUAACUCAAUCCAGUUACAUAAGAUGGAAGCCAAAUUAUCUUUCUUCAAUGAGAUGGAGGGAGUCGUAAUGAGGGUGAAGGAGCAAUUGGACAGGUCAAGGCAAAGGCUUUACCAUGAGCGAACACAGAUAAUUGCUGCUCGACUGGGCUUACCAGCUUCCUCCUCUAGAGCAAUGCCGCCACCAAAUGCUGCAAAUAGAGUUGCAACAAACUUUGCAAACUCGGUUGCAAGGCCUCCAAUGAGCAUGAAAGCCCCAAGACCACCAUUGUCGAGACCCAUGGGUUCUAUGACCCCUACCCCUUCCAACCCAUGUGUCCACUACAGUUGCAGGGAGUUCAAUUCGACCUGGUAGCCAAGACAAUCUUUCCUCCGUUGGAACCAAGUAGUCUCUAUUCAUAUUACUUGUGAAUAGAAUUUUUCAAUCCAUUCUUAUACAAGGGUCAUCCAUCAUGAGAUGUAUCUGGUUAGUACCCCUUUUUUUAUUGUUGCAGUUUCUGUUCUUAACGCUGCCAGUCAUCUUGGGUGCAUUUAAGAACUUGAGAAUAUACUCAAGCUGAACUCAUAGCAUAUUCAUAUCUGAUGUUUUCCGCUAAUUCCAGCCACACCACUGAUUUAUCUCCGGAUACUGCGGCCUAUAUUACAUAAUUGACUGGCAUCACAUCAUCAUAGGAAGGAGGAGUAGAUGGUUAUUGUUCUCCCUUCAAUCCUAAUCUAGUCAACAACAGUCUAUAGCCUAUGUCUAACUUGGAAUUUUCUUCAAUGCUUUUGCCUUUUUGUAAGUCUAGUUUGUAGUUGAUAUUUUGAGACCUCAAAUGAUGAAUUUAGGUACUGCAAAGUUAAACAUCCGUAACCAUACCAAUUUCUUAGGUCAUCUUUAAGGUCAGAUAUAACCAAUGUAUUCUAUAUUUAUGGAUGAACAGAUGUGUUUUUGUUGUUACAAAAUGGCGUAAAUUUCUUGGUUUGGAGCUCCCUUUUCUCACCUGUAAUGGCUUUCUUUAGUGUCAUAUUUCCAACUACCCAAAUUGCAUAAUAUGCCUCUCCGGAACACCACACAGCAGAGGCAGGAAAGUUAGAUCAGCUGAAAUCAGGCUGCAAAAUAAUUUUAAUUUUCUGAAAAACUGAUAUUUUCUGAUAAUUGAUUGUAUGAAAAAUAUCCUUUGAUAAUUUUUUUCUAAAAUAAUUUUUUAAAUGGUUUUUGUUUUUGUAAAAUAAAAUCGACAUAAGUAUAUUUGUUUUAGAAAAUUUAUUUUAUAAUAAGAUAAUAUUUUGUAAUAAUUAAUAUAUCAUAUAAAUUUUAGAGAAUGAAUGGUGAUAGUUUAUUAAUAAAUAUUUAUAAAAUGUAAUGUUUUUAUUAAAAUAUUAAUAUAAAUAUCUUUCAUUAACGUAUUAACGAUUUAAAAUUCAAAAUUGUUGUUGGUAAAAUGUAUUAUUAAAAUAAAAUUUGUAAUAUUAAAUAAUUUAUUAAAAUAAUAAAUCAUAUUAAUUAUAUUAUUGAAUAUAAAUACUUUAAUGUCCAUGUUUAAUAAUAAUUGAAUAUUAUAAUAUUUGUAUUAAUAUUUUAGUAUUUUAAAAAUAAAAAUUUAUAUUAAUAUAUUAAUAAAAGGCAUGAUUUAAGUAAACUAAAAAUAAAAUUACUUACAAAUGAGUUCUCUUGCAAAAAGUGACUUAUGCUUUUAAGUUAAUUAUCAAGAAAAAUAAUUUAUUUUUAUUGACUUGUAUAUUUUUCUGUUGAUUAAAUUGUUUUUUUAUAAAAAAAUAUAUAAAAAUAAAGAAAACAUUUUACGUGAGUUAUUUUUAGUGAAAAUUAGUGGUUGGACCCUGUCAAACCACUGUUAAACUAGUUGAUUUGAUUUAAUUAAAUAAAUUAUUAAAAACUCAUUAAAAAUAAAAAAACAAUUUAAUCGUCAAAUCAUGCGAUAGGUCAUCUUUUUCCAUUGCCUUCUAGAGCUACAGUUGUCCCAAUCAAAUAUCAACUUUUUCCAAUAUUGCUGAGUCAAAGGAGAGGAUUGUGUAAAGCAAGAUGCAUUGUUACAAAUGUCAAUUUUUCAACGCAAUCAAUAAACAGAUUAACAACUGAAGCAACCUUUAUAUUCAAGCACAAGAAAAAAUUAUUUUAACUUAACACUAAAUCAAAUAUAUAGCUUAGUAUCAAAUUCGACCUAUAAGGCAAAAAAAAAAAAAAAAAAACUACCAUACUAGUGUAAUUUUGAAAUUAUUUAAGAGAAUACACAUUUUAGUUUUUUUAUAUUAUUCAUGUUCUUUUUAUGACCUAUAUUUGAGGUUCGUGACUAUAUUUUUAACAAUAUUGUCUUCAAAUUUAAAACCUGUAUCCUUUCUUUAAAAGUGCAAUAUAUCUUAUCAUUACAUCUGACACUUAUUACUCUUAUUUGGUUGAAAGUUAUUUAAAAAAAUUGUGUUUUAUUACUACGAAUCAGAACUUCGUUUAAGUGAUUACGUGUAUCUCCUACUAUUAAAAAAAAUGUCUAGACAUUGUAAUAGUACAAAAUUUUAUUUUUAAUUAUUAAUUAUAAUAUUUUAAUAACAUUUUCAAUAAUGAAUUAGGUUGCUGAACAGGUUUAGGUAAGGAAAAAAAGGCUUUCGGCUUGUUACUAAUUGGCACAAAUCUAGUUUAUAACCUUAAAAGUAAAUUAAAUUCUAUAAUGUUGACGUCUAUAAUGAUUUAAAUUAGAUGAUAUCUCUAUUUCAUCUUCCUUUAUAGUGACAACCCUCACCUUCUCCAUUUUAUAAUCAACAUGAAUUAUGGAUGUUCAUAUAUGUAUGUAGUUAAACAUACUUAAAUAUAUAUCCUUUUAAAUAUUAUAAUAAUAUUGAUAUUGAUGGACUUAAAUCUACGUAAUUUAUUACAAUAAAGUCCCUAAAAUGUGGCAUGGUUCAAACUUAACGAUAGCAAAAAGGGGGCAACAUUAUUGAUGGAAUCAACAAUCACUCGUAAUGCAUAGAAGAAGAUAAAAUGCUAGCAAGAUAAUCAUCUUAAUAAUGAAUUACAGUCACAUUAUACUCAACAAUGGCGUCGCCAGUCUUGAAAUUCACGGAAUAAGUCUUGAGUUGUGCAUACCCUUUUGCCAUCCUGAACUUCCCUUUCCCUCCGACCACCGCAAGCUCACGCUCCGAUUCGGUUAUUGGAUUCCUCGACAAAACACUGAUAGAGCUGCCGUUGAAUUCACCUUUCGUAAACCCGAUGUCCAAGUAGGCCAUCAGAGUUAAAACGUCUUUGCCUGUCGACACCCAGAGGCCUUGAGCGUUCCCUAUGACCUCUGAUGUUAUGUCGGGGCCAACAGUGAGUGGAUCAUCGAAAGCUAUCACGCCGCCGAAGCCCGUCGAGGUGGUGGUGUUUGGACUGACUAUGGUGACUGCGCUAGGGUUGUUGCCGCUCUCAGUGUCGUGUAAAAAGAAGUGGAGAUAGGUUACUUUUUGUGGAGGUGGAACGUAUGGUCCGCCAUGGGAGUAAUAAUCUUGGCAACGAGCUACUGCCAUGGCGGUGCUGAGACUCAAAAUCCAGGCUAAUAUCAUAUUUCUCUCCAUUGGUAAUGGUGAAUGGGAUUUCACUACUGCGAUUAUUGUAUCAUGGCACCCAAUUCAUAGGUUCCUUAGUUUAUAUAGAAAAAUAAAAUAAAACAAAAUCACAAAUUUAGUUUUUAAUAUUUAUAUUUUUAUUAUUUUAUUUUUUUAGUUAAAUUUAAUCAUUGAUUUUUAAAAAAGGUAAGAUAAUUUUUUUUAUCGAAAAUGCUAAUUAAAACAUUAAUUUUUUAGUUAUGUUAGCAUGACAACCAACUUGAUAAUUCGCGUAUAUUUUAUCCUAAUAUGAUACUAUUGUUCUAAUGAAUAAAAAUUUUAAAAUUCAAACAAAUAUAAAAAGUUAAAAUAUUAGCAUGAUGUACAUGUUGAUUACCAUAUGACUGUUAUAUUUAAUGAUUUUGUAAGUAUUUAUGUUUUAAAAAAAAAAGUAAUUAGACUUUUUUUUGAAAUAUUAAUAGGUGAAAUUAAACUUUUUUUUUAAAGUUUUAAAAUCAAAUUUAAUUAAAAAAAUAUUAAAUUGAUAAAAAAAAUAUAAAUAUUAAAAACCAAAUUUAUGAUUAUGUAAUAGUGAAGGCAAUCUCACUUAAUUGAAGGCAUCGUAAUGACAUUGUUAUAGCAAAACUUAAGCAACCAUCUAUGGGCCCCUUCCCUAGGGUUGGUUAAAAUUCAGUAAUACUUAUGUAUUUGUGCUAUGUACAAAUAUACAAUUAUAAUCUUAUUGGUGGCCCAAAAAAACGACAUUACUAGAUAAGUAAAAUUAAGGAUAAAUUCAUAAAUCUAUCAAUUUUGAAAAUAAUAUAACUUUGCUUAAAAGCUUUCUUAUUCUUAAUCUGCAUAAAACAACGGAGGAUGAGAAGACUAUCAGAUCCUGCUUGAUGGCUUAAUCCAGCAACACGAGCUACGUUUAAAGUUUUUGCCACCUUUUCUAGCCCACCAUGUAAGUUAAAGAUCUUGAAACUGUACUUGAUGUCAAAAAUUCUAUAACCGAAAUAAUAAAUCAAAUGUCGCAUGAAAGACUUCAGAUCAGGCAGCAAUAAAUGUUGAGUCAAAAUCUUCAGCAAAAACCCGAAAUCAUAAGCGCUGUGAAAAGUUACCCAAGUCAAUUCACCGAAACCCAACCCGGAAAUCAGAAACAUCAUGCCAAAAUCUCUCGAACAAAUGCCUUUUUGCUUAUUCUUCGUAAAAUCUAUACCUUGUUGCCUAAGUAACUCAAUAGACUCUUUAUCAUAAUGAUCUUUUUCAAUAUCAAAAUCUUGAAAAUUAAACUCCCAUAUAUAACAAAAAGGAGUUCCGAAAUCUGGCAAAUUACCUUCAAAAUUAGAGAGCGUUAAACCAAGUUGAAUGAUCUUCAUAGCAUCGACAUUACCUUUCAUGAACUUGUAAUUGAUUUCGGGAUUUCCUAAUUGAAUGAAUUUUUUGUCUAGUUUAAAAAUUGUACCAGGAAAUUUAGUAUCCAUAGAAACAAAAGAAUAGUUGUGGAGUGCACUUCGGAUUAACAUAAACUCGUAUUCUAAAUUGCCAGCAAAUACUUCCCUAACAUUCACUAGUUUGUUGACAAAAAUCGACAUUUUUUUUCUUGACUUAUACUUUAAACUAAAACUAUUGAACUCUAUAUAUAAUUUUCGUGAUCCUAAUACAGUUCUAACUAAGAUAUAUAUAAAUAUAAAUUUCGUAAUCCUAAUUCAAUUCUAACUAAUAUAUAUUUAUAAAAUAUAGUUUGCAUAAUCCUAAUUAAGUUCUGAGUUCUUAAAAAGAUAUUGUGUAUUGAUACAAGAAGGGUACUGCGUUAUUUAAGUUUAUGCUUUAUAUAAUAAUAAUAAUAAUAAUAAUAAUAAUAUAAAAGGUGUCAAAAUUAUAUAUUUUAAAAAAUAUAAUUUAGUAAAAUUUGUGUUAUUUACACAUUUAAAAAUAAUUAUAAUUUAAUUCACAAUUAUUAAUUAAAAUAAUUGUGUUAAUUUUAAAACAAAGUUCUUACCCAUUUAUAAAAACUCCAAGCGAAAACAAGUUGUAAUAAUUAUAAUUAUAAAUUAAAUUACAAUUAUUAGUUAAAAAGAGUUUGAUGUAAAAAAAGAAGUUGAGCUGAUUUUAUUGAAGUAAAAUAGAAUUCUAAGCAUCUUAAUUAUCACGUAAUUAAUAUUAAGGUUAAUUAGUUAUUGUUUUGAUUAAUGUUACUUUAAAUUAAGCGAAACUAUGUUACAUAUUGAAUAUGUUAAUAAUUCUUUAAGUAUGAUUUGAAAAUUUUCUAUUAUAAUAUUUGAAUUGAUAAAUUUUUUUGAAAUAAAAGAAAUACAUAUUUGGUAAUAAUGUAACUAAAAAAAAAACAUCAUAAUGGACCUGAAUAAUUCUAACAGUGCUAACAGUUGGACUUGAAUUUUAAAAUCUAAAAAAUAAAUUCUAAAUUCUAAUUUUACAAAUAUUACAUAGACUUAUGGUACAUUUGAAGCUAAAAAUAAAUGGUCAAAUUAUAGUAAUCAACGUGCAUUAGUGCCUUUGAAAGUACAAACCAAUAGAUCAACGGUUAUCCCUAUUCCAACACAAAAGCUAAACCCAAUUUCAAAACCCACACACACUAACAUUGAGCCAUAAAAAAUGUAUUUAUUAGAUACGAGCAUAAUAUAGUCAAUUAUUUAAACUCCGAGUGACAAAAUGGGAUUAAAAUAGUAUCAAUUUUCUGCAAAAAAGUAACUCUUUUAUGACCUUCAUUUGCCUUAUACUUUGCUAUCGAAUCCACUAUCGGCAUUGAAUCGCAUUUUUUCGUUUCAUCCCUAAAAUUCUAGUAAAUAAAAUUGGACUCCUCAUGAAAGACCUUACAACAUAGACCUCAAUUGAUAGUUUGUUGAUAACAUUUUCACAAUUCAUGUUCCAAGUUUGGUCACUUCCAAUUGAAUCUUUAGUACAAUUAUUGAACUCUAUAACCCCGUAUAGUAUAAGAGUAUCCUUAUUAAAAACCCCAAACUUAACACUUCCUAUCAGCCUUACAUUAUCUGUGCUCACAAAAAUGGCUUCUUGGAUCCUUUUAUCAACCCGAUCCCUUCGAGUGUAUCACCGUUUACUUCAAGAAAUGCAUUAGGAAUUAAUGGGACAUGGUUGAGUGUGAGGUAUUUGAGAAUUAAAGUUGAAUCAUAGUUCUCAAACUCGCUUAUAUUGACAUAGAAUAAAUCAAGCCAAGAUAAUGGCUUGUAAGGAGAGUGGGGAUUGACCAUUCAAUGAUGGUUCAUAAACCCUAUCCAUCAAAGAGGUCUUAGAGAUUAUGAAAUUGAAAAGAGAAUCAGACAGCAAAUUCAAGCAUUGGGUUUAUAUAGACAACAUAUAUAUAUACAUGAUAGGUGUACAGAAUUAUAUUAAAAUAAAGUUAUCGAAAACAAAUUAUGUGUAAGAUAAUUAAGGAAAGAGUGGAGUUUUUGGUGUCUGUUUUAGGAGAAAAGAUUAAAUGAAAACAAUUAUAACUCAAUUCGUGGUCACAAAUACACGAAUGAAAACAAAACUUUAAUAAUAAAACUCUAAUAACAUGAGCAACUAUGAAAAAAAAAAAACAAGAAAACUUCUACAAACAAGACCAUGUUUAACAAAAGCCAAUGCCAACUAAUUCAAGGCCUAUCAAAAUUGUUCAAAUACUGCAUUUGACAGUAAUAACAAUCACAACAAAACAUAAAGAAAAACAAGUCUCAUCUAAAACUCAACAUCUGAAAGACAUCCAAAAAAGUUCAAAUGAAGCUCUUCUUCUCCCUUUCUAUGGACCUAUGCUUCGCAUUUGUCAGUGUCUAUCUUCAGUAGGCAACAUGCCCAUUCUCCGAUUUCUCGGCACUGGAUGUCAUAAGGGAAACAAGAUCAUAAUUAGCAAUGUCAUUUUGCAGAGACACACAAUUGACAACUCAAGCAGAACUCAACAGAGGGAUCUAACAGGCAUGGUAUUUCACGGGGUUGAAACCAAGCAACGUUUAGUUAAUUUCUAAUGCUUCGUGAAUAUAAAGUAAAAUAAGUAGCAAGUUCUCAAACUCUUCCAUAUGCAAGGGACUUUUGACACAAGAAGUUCUCGGACUCUUUCGCAAACCGCAUUCUCCAUACUUUGGACUUGGUCAUGUAUGUCAAACAGUACGAGCAGGGCUGCAGGAGAGAUGAAAAAGAUGCAUGGUUAUUAUUGCUCGAGUUAAAUCACUAUGGGGCCUGAACUAACUGUAUCACAUCGGGGCUUGAACUUUCCUUUUGUCCAAGUUAGUCCCUGAACUUGGCAAUUGUUCUCAUAUUAAGGACUAAAAAUGUCAGAGGUUAACUUGGACAAAAACAAGUUCAUGCCCCAAUGUGAAAACAAUUGGGGAGUUAAGAGCCUAACUUAGACCAAAAAUCAGUUUAAGCCCCAAUGUGGGAAAAGUUGUCAGUUCAGGCUCAAAAAAGUGAUUUAAACCUAUUUAUUCUUUAGCUAAUUAAAGCCUCUAUUCCAUUCCCUAUAAUCCCUAGCCUAAAUGAAUUCAAAUACUGCUGUAUGCAUAAGGAAAUUUGUUCUAUAAUGCAAUUGUGGAAGGCAAAAGAAUUCACAUACACUACUUCUAUUCUGUUUCUAAAGAAACAAGCAUAUAUAUAAACACUUUAUAAUGAAUCAACAUGAGAAAAACAACAAAUAAAGCAAUAUUCUAAAAUUAACCAAGCAAUGAAAAUCCAGUUAAUUGAAGAGACCUUUGGGGUUGAUGAUCAGCAUCAGCUGUAGCUUCAACAGGGUCACUCUUCCUCCAGCUCUUGUCAGCCGGGGCACGGCCAUUACCAAAGCUUGCUUUUGCUCCUCUCUCUUUCUCUGUAACGGCUACUGUCUUUAAUCUUCAUAGCUUCAAGCUUUCCAUCAAUCUCCUUCCAGUCUUUCCCCUUUUCCUUCAACAACUCCUCUCUCGGCCUUGCCUCGCCGAAAGAAGGGAAAUCGGAGAGUAAUUAAAGGCAUCAAGGGAAAUCGGAGAGUAAUUAAAGGCAUCCUCAAUUGGCGGAAAGAGAAAGCAAUCUCUGCCCAAGGUCUCACUUAAUUGAAGGCAUCGUAAUGACAUUGUUAUAGCAAAACGUAAGCAACCAUCUAUAGGCCCCCUUCCCUAGGGUUAAUUAAAAUUCAGUAAUACUAAUGUAUUUGUGCUAUGUACAAAUAUAGAAUUAUAAUCUUAUGCGUGACCAAAAUAAACGAUAAUAAUAAUGUAUUUUAUAUAAAAUUAAUAUAAAGUAGAUAAGUAAAAUUUAGUAUAAAUUCAUAAAUUUAUUAAUUUUUAAAAUAACACAACUUCAUAAAUAAGAAUAAUUAACAAAUUAUACUUUUAACUCAAAUCAGUCCGUACAAUGCUAAGGCUGGCAAUUUUUGGUUACAUUGCUUAAAAGCUUUCGUAUCCUUAAUCUGCAUAAAACAACGGAGAAUGAGAAGACUAUCAGAUCCUGCUUGAUGGCUUAAUCCAGUAACGCGAGCCACAUUUAAAGUUUUUGCCACCUUUUCUAGUCCACCGUGUAGAUUAAAGAUCUUAAAACCGUACUUGAUGUCAAAAAUUCUACAACCGAAGUAAUAAGUCAAAUGCCGCAUGAAAGACUUGAGAUCAGGCGGUAAUGGAUGUUGAGUCAAAAUCUUCAACAAAAACCCGAAAUCAUAACCGCUGUGAAAAGUUACCCAAGUCAAUUCACUGAAACCCAGCCCGGAAGUCAGAAACAUCAUGCCGAAAUCUCUUGAACAAAUGCCUUUUUCCUUAUUCUUCGUAAAAUUUAUACCUUGUUGUCUAAGUAAUUUAAUAGACUCUUUAUCAUAAUGAUCUUUGCCAAUAUCAAAAUCUUUAAAAUUAAACUCCCAUAUAUAACAAAAAGGAGUUCCGAAAUCUGGCAAAUUACCUUCAGAAUCAGAGAGCGUUAAACCAAGUUGAAUGAUCUUCAUAGCAUCGACAUUAACUUUCAUGAACCUAUAAUUGACUUCGGGAUUUCCUAAUUGAACGAAUUUUUUGUCUGGUUUAAAAAUUGUACCAGGAAAUUCGGUAUCCAUAGAAACAAAAGGAUAAUUGUUGAGUGCACUUUGAAUUAACAUAAACUCGUAUUCUAAAUUGUCAGCAAAUACUUCCCUAACAAUCACUGGUUUGUUGACAAAAAUCGACAUCUUUUUCCCUUUUCUUUUUUUUUCUCUAAAUUAUGCUUUAAGCUGGAACUAUUGAACUCUAUAUAUAAUUUUCGUGAUCUUAAUUCAAUUCUAGCUAGAAUAUACAUAAAUAUAAUUUUCCUAAUCCUAAUUCAAUUCUAGCUAAUAUAUAUUUAUAAAAUAUAAUUUUCAUAAUCCUAAUUAAGUUCUGAAUUCGGACUAAGAUAUUGUGUAUUAAUACAAGGAGGGAACUACGUUAUUUAUAAUUUUCUAAUUUAAAAUUUAUUUUUUUAAUAUUAUUUUUUUACUAAAUUAGUUUUAGGUAAAAAAAAAAAAGAAAAUUACAGGUGGACUCUAAUCUUAUUUGUAUCCUUUAAAGAAAUAAAAGGAUAAUGGAAAGUGGGUGUUGACCGUUUUGCCCUUAAACGAUGGUGCAUAAACCCUUUCCAUCAAAGAGAAACAAACAGCAAAUUCAAGCAUUUGAAUUGGUAAUUUUAUCAACUUUUAAAACAUUAAAUUAAAUUUUUAUCAUUUUUUAAGAAAGCUAAAGUAUAAUUUUAUCUUUACUAAUUUAAAAUUUAAAAAAAUUUAAAAAGUUUAAAUAAAAAAUUUUUCAUUUUAAAGGAGGUCGGGGCACCUAUCACCCCCUCUCCGAUACUACAAAAUUAUAUUAAAAACAAAAGGGCUGUGUAAUAUUAAAAUAAAGCCAUUGAAAACAAUUUGUGUGUAAGAUAAUUAAGGAAAGUGUGGUGUUUUUCGUGUCUAUUUUAAGGGAAAAGAUUGUAUGAAACAGGGAUAUUAUCAUUUUUCAAUAGUUUAAUGUCAUAUCAACAAUUUCAUUUUAAAUUUCGGAAUUUUCAUUUAGAUUUAAAUUUUUUCAGGAUAAAAAUAUUGAUGCGAUAUUAAACUAUUAAAAAAAUAUACAUAUGACAUGGUAUCCCAAUUACAUACAAUCAUUUCCCUUAUUUUAGUAGUUUUCGUAUAACACAGUAUUAAUCUUGUUUAUGUGACUCUUAGCCAAAAGUGAUGCAUUAUCUUCUUCAUGUUGCUUUAUAGGACUUUUUGGAGUUCUCUUUGAGAAGUUGAUAGGUUCAUGUUGGAUGAUUUUGUAUUGGUGCUUGUUUGCUGCAGCUGGCCUGAUCAGACACAAGCCUUCAGGAGAGGCCACAACAGACGUGAAACCCAAGAGGAGACGUCGGAAUCUCUAUGGUGUCGAAGAGAACAUCAAUGGUGGAGGAGUCAAGACCGAAUAAUCACCCUUUUGGACAUCGACCAUAAAAAUAAAAUUCUCAAUGAUGAAAUUUAAACUCGAACUGUUUCAAGGAAACUAAAUCUAAAUCUAUAAUGAUGUACAACGGAGAUUAAUCUUCACACAUACGAUAUGAAUAUACCAACACUACACAUACACACUACAUUCAAAGAAAAUUAUCUAAAUAAAAACUUACCACUCAUUCUAAAAAAAAAGCACAAAAAGAAAAAGAGCAAUGUUAUUAUAACACCACUUUCCUAAUAAAUUUUCAAUAAUGUCUACAUUACCACGUGAAAAGCACAUGCAGCAGCACUCCCCAUUUACAAGACCCACAUGUCGUUCUUCUUCUUAAAGAUGGACUCGUGGACAAGGAUAUUAUUUAGUGAGAUAUACAUGCACUAGUUAAUACCUACCAUACACAGAUUUAUUGUCACAAUUUGAAAUAAAAUCAAUGACAAUAUGGAACCGAAAUAGGAUGGAAAAAUUCGAAUCAUUUUAUAAAUUUUCGGAUCGAUUCGUUUUAAAUGAGGUAAGUGUUUUUCUUUUUGAAAAAGGAUGUAAGGUAAGAUAAAUUUUUUUGAAUAGUGGGUAUAGAACGGUUAUAGUAAUAACUUGUUUUACCCCGCUCCAUUAUAUGAAAUAAUAUAUUUAUCAUUACAUUUACAAUUAUUAAAAGAGUAAAAAUAUACUAAUGUAUUAUAGAAAAACUCAUAUUUUUAUGUUCAAAUAUGUUUUUUAUAAGAAUUAUGUUUAAAUAAUUACUUGCCUCGAAAAAGCUUGAAAAUAUUAAAGAUAAGUAGCAAAAAUUAAAUUGAAGCGGAGUGGAGAUGGAUGCAUCCAACAUUCAUGAACAUGGUAGUGACUUUUAAAAUUAUACAUCCAUAAUAGAUUGGGGUGGGUGGUGGAGCAAAGCAUACCAACUAUUGAGCGGUAAACAUAAGUUUCGCAAAAUAAUCUAAGACUUUUUUACAACUAUAAUAAAAUCUAGCCUAACAUUUGUGUUUACAUUUUCUACAACUAUAAAUCAAAAUUAAACCUUGCAAAUUUUGAUAUUAGUAAAAAUUAUCACAUAAAUAAUAAAUGCGGAAUUAAAAUAAAUUAACUUAUUGAUAAUGAAGUUGUUUGUGGUGAUUCUUCUGACUAAACGGUUGAUUAAGUUUCUAUCUUAGUUUUAUGAGUAAUACGUAAAAAUACUAAAUUGACAUGAUAUUACACAUGUGAUAAUAUAUGUAUCACAAUAAAAUUUGUAAAGUAUGUCUUAGUCUGUAUGUACACUUUGCCAUCUUGAACGUCCCUCUCCCUCCCACCACCGCAAGCUCGUGCUUCGUUUCGACAAUUGGAUUCCUCAAGAAUAUAUUAAUAGAGUAGCCAUUGAGCUCCCCUUUCGUAAACCCGAAGUCCAUGUAGGGUACCAAAGUUAAAACAUCUUGGUCGGUCGACACCCAGAGGCCCCAAACAUUCCUAACAACCUUCGAUGUUAAGUUGGGACCGUCGGUGACUGGGUAUCGGGAUGUCAUUGAAGGCAGUCGUCAUGUUGGCACGGGCUACAACGACUGCACUAGGGUUUCCGCCGCUCUUUGUGCCGUGUAAAAGAAGUGGAGAUUGGUUACUUUUUGUGGAGGUGGAACAUAUGGCUUACUUUGGGAGUAAUAAGUUUAUAGCAAACCUUGAAAAUUAGUUUAAAUUUUAUGGCAAACCUUCCCCAAAUCUAACUUUUUAAAUCAAAAAAAAAAUUCAUAAAUGUAUAAAUAAACACAACAUAUAAUAUAAUUGAAUGAUUGAUCAAUAAGUGUAGAGUGAAUGGUAAGGCAUAUUAUAUUAUUAAGGGGAGGAUUCGAGUAUGAAUUUUAGAAACGAAAUUGCUGAAAAGGACAAUUACAAACUCAAAAAUUAUUAGUAUUUAUAAAUCAUAAAACAGAUAUGGAGGAUUCAUUGAUUCAUAAUAAAAAAAGAAUAUAUUCAAUUUUCAGACUUUAAAUCACCUUUAGAAUGAAGGUAAUUAUUAUGAUAUGAUUAUUGUACCUCAACCUGUAAGUUUUUAGUUUAUUGUGAAAUAUUUUAAAAAUUAAACAAUAAUAAUUUAACGUGGAUUAUCUUGAACCCUAAACUCGGAUAUCUAAUAUUUAUCAAAACUAUUUUUGGCUCUUACAUGGAACUUUUAAUAAAUAUAUUUGUUACACAAUUUAAUAAAUAUGUCUUUUCUCCCAUAUCAUGACAUGAGUGUGACACAAUAUAAUAUUUUAAUAUUUAAUUGAAAAAAAUUGUUGAAGGAAGCAAUUUCUUUAAGAAAAGUAUUCGAAAUAUUGUCUAUCAUACAAUCAACGGUCCCCUAACAAUCGAAUGUAUUGUCUCUCGAGAAAUUAUCUCUUAUACCUUAUCGAGAGCCAGCAUGUUGUGAGUGGCUUUCCUAAGAGCUUGGUUAACAAAUCCAAGCGUACCUCAUCCAUACGUUAACAUCGAAACUAAAUUUAGUAUCAAUUAAAUUAAUGUAAAAUUGAUAAUAAUAAUAAUAAUAAUAAUAAUACUAAUAAUAAUAAUAAAACAUUAACAUCGUGAUUAAAUGAUCUUUAGUUGCCCACUUUCAAAAUUUACCAUUUCUUCUAUAGGGAUCAAUUUGACCUAUUAAAAUUGAGAGGGAUCAAAAGUCUUUUCACUUAAAUAUUAUUAUAAAUUAAAAUGUCACAAGUCAUUGUAUUCUUCAAAAUGUUGAUUCUUGUACCUUUAUUUGCAUUUAGUCCCUCUAUUUUUCAUGUUUCAAAAAUUUAAAUUCAACUGUUAACACUAUUAAAAUUAUUUUCUUAAAUUCAAAUUUGUUACAUCAUUUUUAAUUACAUGAUUAUUUUUUUUUAAUUUUAAAAUGUUACACCAACAAAUUCAACAAACAAAACAAUACGAUAAAAAAUUGGAAUCAUUUUUAACUUUGAAAAAUAGUAAGGCUAAAAUUAAAAGUAUUUGAAGUUCAAAAAUGUAACAUAUUUUAAUCAUCAUUAAAUAAAUAAAUAAAUUCCAUGCAAACUUAUUUUGCAAUCAAACCUUUACUUGCAUUACAAGUUAAAGAAGAGAGAUGUUAACACCAAAACUAAAACCCUAGACCUUGUAUUAAGUAAUCAAUAAACAUAAUCAUACUUAUAUUAAUCAAUAAUCUUACACUUGUAUGUAUACCCCCCCCCCCAACAAAAAAUAAAAAUAAAAAUAAAAAUUUUCUUGUAUCAUAAUCAUACUUAUAUUAUGUUAUUGCGUCCGUAAUCGCAUGUAUCCGUUUAAUUGGUCACCAAUACAAACAAUUCAUUGUCACAAAUGAAUGAAAACAAAACUUUAACAAUAAAAAAUUAAUAAUAAAACUCUAAGAACAUGAGCAUCUAUGAAAAAAAAAAAAAAAAAAACACAAGAAAACUGCUACAGACAAGACCAUGUUUAACAAAAGCCAAUGCCAACUAAUUCAAGGCCUAUCAAAAUUGUUCAAAUACUGCAUUUGACAGUAAUAACAAUCACAACAAAACAUAAAGAAAAACAAGUCUCGUCUAAAACUCAACAUCUGAAAGACAUCCAAAAAAGUUCAAAUGAAGCUCUUCUUCUCCCUUUCUAUGGACCUAUGCUUCGUAUUUGUCAGUGUCUAUCUUCAAUUCUCUGCAACACGGCCAUUCUCCGAUUCCUCCGCACUGGAUUUCAUAAGGGAAACAAUAUCACAAUUAGUAAUGUCUUUUUGCUACACAAAAUUAACAACUCAAGCAGAACUCAACAGAGGGAUCUAACUCGCAUGGUAUUUCACCAGGUUGAAACCAAGCAGCGUUUAGUUAAUUUCUAAUCCUUCAUGAAUAUAAAGUAAAAUAUAGGAAGUUCUAAAACUCUUCCAUAUACAAGGGACUUUUGAGAUAAGAAGUUCUCGGACUCUUUCGCAAACCACAUUCUCUCCAUACUCUGGACUUUGUCAUGUAUGUCAGUGCUCAAACAGUAGGAGCAGGAGAGAUGAAAAAGAUGCUUACUUAUUGUUCGAGUUAAAUCACUAUGGGGCCUGAACUUAACAAUUACUCCUACAUUUGACAACAACUCCAACAUUGGGGCCUAAAUUUUUUUUUUUUGCCCAAGUCAGUCCCUAAACUUGAUAAUUAUUCAGGCAUUGAGGCCUGAACUAACUGUUAUCACAUUGGGACUUGAACUUUCCUUUUGUCCAAGUUAGUCCCUGAAAUUGGCAAUUGUUCCCGUAUUGAGGCCAGAUAAUAGCAGGGCCUAACUUGGACAAAAAGAAGUUCAUGCCCCAAUGUGGAAAAAAUUGGGGAGUUCAGGGCCUAACUUGGGACAAAAAAUUAGUUUAAGCCCCAAUGUGAAAAUAGUUGCCAAGUUCAGGCCCCAAAAAGUGAUUUAACCCUAUUUAUUCUUUAGCUAACUAAAGCCUCUAUUCCAUUCCCUAUAACCCCUAGCCUAAAUGAAUUCAAAUACUGCUAUAUGCAUAAGGAAAUUUGUUUUAUAAUGCAAUUUUGGAAGGCAAAAGAAUUCACACACUACUUCUAUUCUGUUUCUAAAGAAACAAGCAUAUAUAUAAACACUUUAUAGUGAAUCAACAUGAGAAAAGCAACAAAUAAAGCAAUAUUCUAAAAUUAACCAAGCAAUGAAAAUCCAGUUAAUUAAACAGACCUUUGGGGUUGAUGAUCAGCAUCAGCUGUAGCUUCAACAGGUUCACUCUUCCUCCAGCUCUUGUCAGCCGGGGCAUGGCCAUUACCGAAGCUUGCCUUUGCCCCUCUCUCUUUCUCUGUAACAGCUACUGCCUCUUUAAUCUUCAUAGCUUCAAGCUUUUCAUCAAUCUCCUUCCAGUCUUUCCCCUUUUCCUUCAACACCUCCUCUCUCGGCCUUGCCUCGCCGAAAGGAUUUGCCCCUUUGGGCUUGGCCACCGUCAAGUCCUUUUUACCCUCCUCCAUCACGGGAACCGUACGUGGUUGAAGCACAAGCUUUGGCCUCACCCCACCACCACCAGCACUGUUGGUCUCUUCCUUUUUCUUUCCCCAGUUAUCCAAAUCCCUUGGGGAAUCCCUGGAUUGAAGUGAAUCGAAACUGCUUCUUUUCUCAAAACCCCCACCAAAUCUCCGAGGCGGCGGUGCUCCAUUAGGGCUUUUAUUACUCUUACUAGCUGCCCAGUUAUCUACUUCAUCUGCUUUCGAUUGAGAAUCGAAAAACCCUCCUCCACCUCUCUCUCGCCUCUCAAACCCACCGCCGAAUCCAUUCCCGGUAGGAGCCGAUUUCUUAACCGACGCCCAAUUAUCGAUCUCAUCAGCGCGUGAGGGAGCAAUUUCUCUAUUUGAAUCUCUAUUCGAAACCCUAGAAGAUCCCCAUCUACUAUUACUCGAAGAAUCAUCCCCGUUAGAAUUGUACCUGUUCGACCCGUACGAUUUAAAACCGCCGCCGAGCCGGUUACGAUCGAGCUCCUCGGCAGAACGCUGGCGAGGGCCGGUCGGUAGAACGAGCAGGUCCUCAUGAGUGCGCCCUGUCGGCUCGCUCGGCUUAGCCAAACCGAGAGUAAAUUCAGCAAGAGAUACGGUUUGGCCCUUCUUUUUCUUGGUUUUGGUGGCCGCGGCGGCGGAUAAAGAAGGGAAAUCGGCGAGCUUUCCGGUGGAAGAAUCUACGCCGCUUUGCUGUUCUUGUUGGAGUUCAGCUUCGUGCUCUUCGGCGUCUAGAGCCCACGCGCCGGCUUUGCCCCAAGGUGACGAGACAGUUGCCGCCAUGAUCUUUUUUUUCUUUUGCCUUUUUAGUGCUUUGGCGCCGUUUCGAAGCUUGCGUUUUCAGUUGUGCAGCGAAACGAGAGGGAAGGGUUUUUUAUAUUGUGAUAUGAUCGGCCUUCAUCGGACGGUGUAGAAUAAUUUACAAAUAAAAGAAGUUUUAACUUUAAAAAUAUACUCAACUAAGAGAUGGAUUAUAUUUUAUCUUUCCUAUUAAAAAAAUUAGUAAAUUAAUCAUUAUAUUUUAGGCCAAAUAACAAACUAAUCAUCCACUUUUAGUGUUAAAAACGGGUCAUUGUACCUCAACAUAACACGGCAUGUGUCACUGUUUGAUUAUUCUGUUAAUCACACUAAUUUUUAACAAUACAAGCAAAUGAAUUUUUAACAAAAAUGACCAAUUUACUCUUUAAUCUAAUAUACAUAGACUAAUUUACUUAUUUUUAAAUAGAAGAGUAAAAUACAAUGUGACUUCUAACACAAAGACCUUUAUUAUAACUUAUAAUGUAAGUCUAAAUUUAUCAAUUUAUUUAUUAUAUCUAAAAUUAUUUUAAUGAAUAUAUAGACAAUAAAUGAAUGAAGUAUUUGGUAAAUAAUCAAAUUUUUAUUAAUUUAAUAAAAGAUAAUAAACUAAAUAUAAAUAAAAUGUGUUCUUUUUAUAUAAUUGGAGAGGAGAAUGAAAUUACUUGGUAUACUUGAUAUCGAAUCCAAACUCUUUCGUAUUCACAAUAUAAUACUCUUAUCAUUGAGUCAAAAGAUUGUUGACAUAAAAUAUAUUAUUUUAUUUACGAAUUUUAAUAUUUAUCUGAUAAAUGAUAUAAAGGUAGUCUUAUAUCUUUCAAAAAUAGUAUAAUUAAUAAUCAUUUAGGUAUUAUCAUUUUACCAAAAAUAAUAUAUAUACAUAUAUGUUUAUCUGUAUUUUCCGAUAUAAGUACGUUAUGUUAAGAGCUGGAUUGUAUCACGUCUCUUUACUCAAAAAAAAAUGGAUAACUAGUCUUUGUAUGUUAAAUUAAAAAGUAAACUAAUCAUUUUUCUUAAAAAUUUAAUUUAUUUCUAUUAUUAAAAAAUGGUCUAUAUACGUUAGAAUAAGGUACGUGGAACACCACAUGUAACUAUUUAGUUAUUUUAUCAACCACGUCAGUUUUUGACAAUAAAAAUAGAUGAAAAUUUUAAUCGAAAUGAUUAAUUUGUUCUUUAAUCUAACGUACAUGAACUAAUUUAAAUAUUUUUGAUUAUUUAUUUAACUUCAUUUUAUUGUUUAUAAAAUAAAUUUUAAAUUAUUUAGAAACAUAUUUAAUUAUAUAUUCAUAAAUGUAUUAGUUUAAUUUAACGGAUAUAAACUUAAUUUUAGAAAUUUUAAAGAGAAAUUAAAAAUAAUCCUAAAUUUAAAUCAUAUAAUAAUAAUAAUAAUAAUGAAAAUUCUGAUUCUGUAAAAAGGUAAUAGCAGUUGGCUCUAAGCCACUCUUUUGAAAAAGCUGCUUAUUUCUAAAGCUGAAUACAAAGGUCUGAACUUUGCAACGUUACGGACAACGUAACCAAACAUAAUCAAGAUAUUCAAUGGAUUCUAAAAUCCAAAUAGCUUUAAAAAAAAACUGAUUUAUAAAAUAAGUUAGGUUUCGAGUAAAGUUUUUUAGUAUUAGCCCAACUAAAAUUUGUAAAAUGAAAAUGUUCGGUUGUUUUCUUCUUGUUUUACACUAUUUUCUUGUUGUUUUCUUACUAUUUUCUCACUGGUUUCUGUCAUUUCACUAUUAUGUUGUUACUAUUUUAUUAUUAUUGUUUUAAUAUUGUAUAAUUCUUAUUUUAUUUUAAUUUUUCUAUUAUUUUAGAGACAUUUACUUGUUAAGUUGUACAUAUCUUAGUGUUAUUUAGUUAAAUAUAUAUAUUUUAAAAUUUUAUUUUAUUGGAAAAUAUUUAUUUGAAUAUUUUUAGUAUAUUUGAUGUAUUGUAUUUUUAAAAUUAUAUAAGAAAAAUUAAUAUGGCCCGGCCAAGCCUAGUUGUUGCAUAUUUUUUGGUCAGGCUUGAGCAAAAUUUUAAGCCUAUUUUUCGGGAUAAUUUAAGCCUGGGCCUAUCAAACGAAUCUAGAUUUUUGUCAAGGCUCAGCCCAUGGACAAGUUUAUAAAUUUAUUUCAACAUAUAAAAUUUACUUAUUAAUAAAUAAAUGGUAAUAAAAAUAAAAUAAUUAUUAUAGUUUAACAUAAUUUUAUAGAAAUCGAGAUUAAAAAAAUAUUAAAGUAAUUCAACUUGUUUUUUUUUAAAAAUUCUAUAAAAAUAACAAUUUAGUAAAAUAUGUCAUAGAUCCUUAUAGUCUUCACAAAUUUAAGUUUUAGUCUCUUUAUUUUUAUUUUACAGUAAUUUAAUCCCUUUAAUUUUUAGAUUAAAAUAUAGAAAAUACAGAGACUUAUGACAUUAUAUAGAAAGUUUUUUUUUGAAUAAUAUCAUUAUAAUUAUUAAUCAUAAAUGCUUUUUUUGACACAAUGUCUAGAACUAGACAUAGCCCCACCCCACCCCAUAAAUAGAAUAAUAAUGCGCUUCAGCGCUCUCGAACUCAUGUCCUCCUAUAUUGACAACAAUAUUCAUACUAAUCGAGUUAAGAUUCAAUUAGCGGAAAAUAAAAAGCUUACCCUUGACUUGUCCUUUAUUAUUAGUUGUUAUCCAUAUCCAAUGUUUUAAUUACCAAGUGUGCAACUGGUUUUUUCCCCCACAAUUGAAAAUGACAUUACAAACAUAGCUUAUAGCAUCCGUUCGGUGUUCGGUGACCCAAAAUCAACACCACCGAUCGAGUAGUCCAUAAAACAUGCGUCGAUAUUCCACUAUAACACGGCCAAGAUUUAGAUUACGUAGCCAGGAGAGAGCUUCUCUGGUAACAUAUGCAUUGUCUGAAUGAGGUGCCACCAAAAUCCUAGUAUGACCUGAUAAAAUUUGAUGGUUAUAAACAGAAUGUAAAAUAGUAGUAUAAAAAGUAGGGUCUAAUGGGCAGUUUUCAUGUCUACGACGUCUGAUAAUUUGUACGAGAAAUAAAAAAUAAAUAAGCGGUAGAAUAAAUAAAACGAAAUUAUAUUGAGUAAAUUGAUAAGACAAUGGUCUAGCUUCAAAGCUGAUUUUGGCUCCAAUUUCGAACCAACCCUGACAAUAGAUUUUAUUGUCAGUUGUAGUGAUUGAGAAACAGCCUUAAAUCACUAGCUCUUUCAUGCGUAAAUUAAUUGUAGGAACAGUUCAAUAAUUAACUCUUAUCAAAUGAACAAUUUUGAAAUCAGCUCCCAUAAUUUAAUUCAAAUUAAAAGGACUCGACUCGAAUCAACGACUUUUAUUGUGCGAGUCAUUUAAACUCAAUCAUUAAUUUCUUUGACAAGUCCAAUCAUUAUGCAAUUUGUCAUGUCAAUUUAUUUUUCGAUAGAUUAAAUACAGUAAUUACAGAUCAUAUCGAUUUUUUAAUUAUACGCAGGAACUCUUUUUAAUUUGAUGCUCCAAUGAUGUUGUGAGACAACUAAGUUUAUCUCCUAAAUCGAAAAAUUAAUAAAUACCGAAAUGAAGAAUUUAAGUACGGAAAAAGAAAAUUUAAUUAAUUAUAAUGAAAAUUUUAAUACACUCUAAUGCCAAAGAAAAUUGUGAAAAUUUUAAUUUACUAGGCGCAUUUGGGUAAUAUAUAGUAGUUAGAGAUAUAUAAUAAAUAUUGAGCUUAUAUGUAAUGUUAGACUUAUAGCAAUAUAAUAUAUAUUAUUAAUUUCGAUUAUUUCGUUGGUUCAAUUAAUUAUCUAUUUUUAAUUAAAUUAAUCGAUAAUUAACUUUCAUAAAAAUCUUUAAUUAAUUUUGAUCGUCAAUUAAUUAAUCAAACUAAUUUGAAUUUGAUUUGAUUGGUUAAUUUGAUUUUAAUCGAAAUAUACACACCUUUCUUUUGGUCUGUAUUUGUUCUUAUAAGUUAUCUAAGUGUGUAUAUAUAUAGAGAAGAAAUGUUAAUUUUGAUGUAAAUUAAAAAAUUUUAAAUAUUUGUUUUAUGUAAAAAAAAUGUAACUGUUCAAUAAAUAUUAAUACUUACAGUAUUUUAGAUCAAUAUGAUAAAAAUAUUAGAUCAAUUUAAAAAUUUACAUACAUAACAAGUAAAAUUAUAUUAAUAAAUCAAACGGUUGCAUCGUUUAAAUAGUAAUAGCAAUUAUAUUGAUAAAUCCAACAGUAUAAAUAAAUUCCUCCUGAUAUAUAUUAUAUUUAUAUAAAUAAAUGGCAAGAUUUUAGUUUUGAGAUAAAUAUACAAGUUUUUGAAAAUAAAUUAUUAUAUUUUUUUUUUGAAGUUUUGUUAAUAUAGUGUAUUUAUAAAUAUAAUAUACUAUAAGUAUAAAUUUAUAUUUGAGCAAUUUAAAUUAGAGGUGUUCAUAGGUCGAGUCAAAUUCGGCUUAGGCCAGGCUUAAGCAUGAUAGUAACAUACUUUAUGUUUGCCUAAGCCUGGCUCGGCCCAAAAUUUGAGCCUAAUUUUUUACCCAAGCUUGCCCAUAUUUGUAAAAGACUAACCUAAACUCAUUUUAGGCUCACUCAUAUUAAUUUUUAAUUGUUUUUAAAAUAUUUAUAUUAUAUUAUUUUAAUAUUUAAUAAUUUUAUACCUUUUUUAUUUCUUGAUAAUUUUUAUAUAGUUAUCUUAACAUUUUUUUAAUGUUUACAUUAAAAUAGUAUUAUAUAUUUAAUAUAGCUUUAUUUUUUUAAUGUGUUCAAACUUACAUAAUAAAUAAAAAUAACAUAAUAUAGAAUAUUAUAAACUUAAAAUGGUUAGGCCGGGCUAGGCUCGGGUCUAAUUUUUUUUUUUCUAAACUCAUUUUUGGGCCUAAUAUUUUUACUCAAAUUCUUUCGAAUUUCAAACAGAUUUAGAUGAAAAACCCAACCCAUGAACAAGUCUAAUUUAAAUAUAUAAAAUAAAUUAAUGAAGAAUAGAAAAUAAUCAAAUAAAAUUUAUCCAUAAUAUAUACAUAUGCUAAGAUGCGACACCCAUACGUCAUGAUUAUAUAUAUAUAUAUAAAUUAUAUAUUAAAAUCCACCUAGGUAGUCUUCUUUCUCUUGCAAGGAAGCUUCAUAUCCCCAAUUACAUAAAGGAAUAAACUAAAUUCCCAAUGUAAUUAUCAAAUGCUUUUUUAAUUUUCUUUUUAGGGUUGGAUUGAAAUACUUGUCAAAAAAUCAAGAAAUCCCAUGACAUCAAAUGUUCUUUUUAUUGGAAAUUGUUGUCUUUACAACCUUGAGUUGCAUUUUUCUUCAAUUUAGUCCUUAAAUAUAAAAAGUUUUUCUCAAUUUUAGUUAUGUAAUGGCAUGGUACAUUAAUAUUAUGUCACAUUAUUACCUAAACAACCAUAAUUUUUAAUGAAAAUUUUUAGUAAUGAUGUGACAUAAUAUCAUAAUAUUGUUUGUUUUCAAUUAAAAAUUAUCAAUUGUCUUUUUUUUUAUAUAUCAUUCAAUUAUAGAGUAAAAAUUAUUUAUUUAAAAUUAUAUAUUUAUUAAACAUAAAAAAGUAUAUGUAUAUAUAUAAAUGCGAAAAUAUGAUAUACAUCAUUUUUUUUGUUUUUACUAAAUAAGAAUAUUCUUAGUAAAUUAUGUUUUAUAAAAAUAGUCGAUUGUGAUUUGUUCCAAGUCGAGUCGGGCCUUGAGAAAAAUUUUAUGGCAGUUUGAUAGGCUUAGGUCCGGUCCAAAAAAUGUGCCCGUCUAUAUUAAAAAAAUUAUUUAAUUUUUUAAAAAUAUAUAUAAUACAUCCAAAACAUUAAAAUUAAUGUUUCCCAACAAAUUAAAAAUAAAAUUUUAAAAAAUAUUUAUAUUUAAAUAAGACUAACAUAAGUGUAACUUAACAAGCAAAUGUAUCUAAAAUAGUAGCGAAAAGAACAGUAGAAAAGCAGCAGGAAAACAAUAGAUUUUUUUCUUUUUGCAAAUUCAGGUCAAGUCCAGGCAAAAAAAAACUUAUCCGAGGCCUAGCCCGUUUUCUAAACAAAUCCUUUCUUUCUUUCUUUUUUUACCAAAUCUCAUUUUCGAAAUUUAUUUUUUUGCCCAAACCUUCUCACUCUUCAACCGGUUUGGAUAACUCGAACCAUGAAUAAGUCUAAUUGUGAUUUAGAAGUAAAACCUCUUUUUAUUUACAAAUAGCUAAUUAUGUUUUAUUACUAGUAAAACCUCUUUUUAUUUACAAAUAGAUAAUUAUGUUUUAUUACAAGUAAAACCUAAUUAACAUGACUUUAGAAACAUAGCCGAAUACAAAGGAAUACGUAUAAAUGAAAUUUUAAGACAUGAAACACAUUCAAUAACAAAGGCAAACAUAAGCAAAUUCCUACUUUUUGUUGUUGUUUUUUAAGUAAUCUGUCCACAAUUGGCAAUAACAACAGGCUUCGUAGUCUUUCCACGGCUAGAACCAACUUUCUCAAUAGCUCUAACCACCUUCAUGCCUUCGACCACUCGUCCGAAAACAACGUGCUUUCCAUCGAGCCACUCGGCUUUAGUGGUGCAAAUGAAGAACUGAGAUUUGUUAGUACCCGGUCCAGCAUUCGCCAUGGAUAGUACACCGGAUCCAAUAUGUUUCUUGAUGAAGUUCUCGUCGGCGAAGUUGGAUCCGUAUAUAGAUUCACCUCCGGUGCCGUUUCCAGCUGUGAAGUCACCUCCUUGGCACAUAAAAUUAGGGAUCACACGGUGGAACUUCGAGCCUUUGUAGUGGAGUGGUUUACCGGAACGACCCACGCCUUUCUCGCCGGUACAGAGUGCACGGAAGUUCUCGGCAGUGCGAGGGGUAACAUCGGCAAAAAGCUCCAUCGCGAUCCGACCAGCCGGUUCGCCUCCGAUCGUCACGUCGAAGAAUACUUUAGGAUUGGAAACCAUUGUUGAAUAUUGGUUUUUGUAUUGUUUUGAUAGGUUAGUAUGGUAUGUAAAGGGGAGGGACUAUUUUUAUAUAUGAUAAGGGGAGGUUCGAAAGUUGACGGCAUAGAUUCUAAAUCUAAUUCUUUCGGUUUAAAAUGAUCAAAUGCUGAGUUAAAAUUGAAGUCCAUUCACAUUUUGUGAUAAAUACGAAUAUAUAUAACAUUUUAAAAUGAUAAAACAAAGGUGGCUGUUUCUGGCAAAUCUAUUGGCUGUCUCUAGCACCAUAUUUAGUAUUUAAAGUGUGUUUGUGUUUGAGACACUUUUUGCUUUUCUCUAUGUAUACCAUGAAAAGUUAUUCUUUGCUUGAAGGAGCUUACAUAGAUGGAAUAUGGUAUAAUAAUUCUUUAUGCAAGAUGUUGGGCAGGUAAAGUGAUGUUCACAUUGUCGGUGGUGUGUAGAGUUAUUAACGAUGAAGGUUUUAAAUUUGUAUUUGAAUAGAGUGAGGGUUUUAUUAUAUAUCUCGUGCCUUUACGUUGGUGCUAGAGGAUAUUAUUUAUAAACGAAGGUUGGUUUGGUAUGGGUUUCAAUCAUCUAUGGUUGUAUUCCAUAGAUGUAGGUAGUAGAAUGGUCAACUAGGAAUACUUUUGAAGUCGAUAUGAGGGGACUUUGUGAGGUGAUCAGUUAUAAUAUUAUCUAGUUCAAAGAGGUGAUGGAUUGAUGGGUGUUGACACGAACACUUAUCUAUGUAUAUUCUAGGGAUUGUGUGGGAUCAUCUCAUUUGAUGUGGUGUUUGGUGAAGCAAGAUUGGGACUAUGCUUCAAGCAAGGUCGAGGUUCAUCAAAUUUUACUUUCAGGCGUAGGCAUUAGGUGGUUCAAUGAGAGGUGAUAUGGUAAGAGUAUAAUAAUUGCCCCUAAAUGAAAGGCAGGUUAUAAAGUGACGUCCUACCUUGAGUUAAAUAUCUAGUGAGACACUGAAGCGACUUUUGAAAUGUCAUGAUUAAUGUCUAAUCAUUGUGCCCUCUCAUUAAUUACUCCCUGUUAGCUUUGAUUUAUAAAACUUUUGAUAUAACAACAUUUAAGAUUUUUUUUUUCAUAUUAUUGCUUAGGUCGUUUAUGCUUCAAAACAAAAUAAAUAUUUUCAAAUCCAAAGCAAGCUAAAAGAAUGCUUAUUUAAAUUGAUUUUACUCAUAUCUUAUGCUCUUAAGUUAAUUGAAAAGCUUUGAAAAUGUUUUAAAGUGCUUUUGAAACAAAAAUAAUCAUUUUAAUAGUUAAUUACGCGUUGAUACCCCUAGGCUAGUAUCCAUGGACCUUUCUAGAGGGGUAAGAUAUCGAUACUUGUUCUUGAUACCAAUACUCACACCCAAGUAUCGUGUUUUACAUAAAGUAUCAAUGCCUUAAAAUGUCAAUAGCCACAACAUUUUUCUAGAUGGGCAAGGUAUUGAUACCUGAUAGUGAGGUAUCAAUACCUAACCCAAAAAGUAUAAAUAUCUCAUUAUUUAUGAUGACUAUUUUUUUUUAGAAGUAUCGAUACCCUCUUCAUAGGUAAUGAUACAUUAGGAUGUAGGGUUGUUUCAACUUGCACUUGUAAUGCUUCUAAUGACUCUUUUUCAUCCCCUGCAACCAUAAAUAGUUAGAAUUCACUUAAUUGACAUAAAGAAAGGUUGGGAUGAAUAAAGAGAUAUCAAUGCAUUCAAGCAAACAAAUUUUUAGUUCAUUUCUUUCCUCUUUUCUUGUUUAUUAUUUAUUGAGCUUUAUUGAAAAUCAUUAUACAAGGGUUUAUUGUAAAACAUUCACUUACUAGAGGUUGAUCAUUUGUUUGCUCAAAUAUUAGACUUCUAUUAAAAAGCGAAUUUAAGAUUUUUAGGCAGAAAGCAUUAAUGGAUUAGAGGUUCUUGUUUAGCCUUGAAUGCUAGGAGGAGAAGGUUUUUGUCUAAGCCUUAAUAGAUACAGAGUUUUAAAGGUUAUACUUGUCUUUGAAAGGUAUCAAGUUAAUGAAUUUGGAAAAUCUUUGUCGGCAAAGAUAAAGGAGGUAGUCAAUUAAGGCCAAACCAUUGUGUCAAUAUUUUCUAUCCUUUCUCACCUUAGUGAAAAAAAUUUAGAUUACCAAUUCACUCCUCCUCUCGGUAGAAUUCGAUUCGUUAAGACUUUACAGUCCCUAAACACGCGUUGAUUUUUUAUUAGGGCUUUUCUAUUUCUUGAUUUCCUACUUAGAUACUUUAUAAGUAGGGCUCUUUUGUGAUUUCUGAGCUUGUAUGUUCUUCUUCUUCUUCUUCAAGGAUGACCGCGUAGUAAAGCAAAUAACCCAACCUCUGGGCAUGGAACAAAAUAUUGCUCAACAAUCAAUGCGUGAAGGAGGUGACAAGAACAAAGGCAAAAUGCCUUUCAAGAAAGAAGGUGCACGAGCUUUGUAGGAAAAGUAAAAAACCGGGGUAGCUCUAUGCACAUUUCUCUCAAGAAGGGAGAAUACUCUGCCAAUGCUAAGAAAAGUAAUGUCAUGUUAGGCACAUUAAAAAGCCAAGGCACCAGGAGGAAACAUCGCGAUAGAUUCCCUCUUUAAAUCUCCUUACUGGAACAAGAAUGCCUAAUAGUGCUUUGGAAGUGAUUUAGUUGGAUAAAAGAUAAUCAAAAGUGAAGUCAGCUUUCUCGAUGCAAUAAAAUGAAGGCCUUCCUUGAAUAGGAGGCAAUAAAGGGGUCCACCGAUGAUUACGUUUUUCUAGACAUGGUGACUCUUCAGAUCUACUUACGGUAUGUACAUGUCACAAACACUACAUCUUAUCAUCGACAAUUAGAAUGACAUGAGAAGAGCCAACUAGGUGGAAGCAAGACAGCAGUUAAAAUAAGAAGAAGAGCAACUUGUCUUACUAAAAGUUUCAUCCCGUAUCAAGUUCGCAUAUGCAACCAUUUGACACAAUAUCUUAUUCUUGCAAGAGCGAGUAGAAAAGUUUCAAAAAGUUGGCGUAUGACCAAAUUGCCAUACUUUGCGUUUAUAUAAUAUUACCCCUAGUCAAUUAUUUAGGGUUCCUUGGUGACUAAUGGUACUGUACUUUUUAGAUUGAAAGAACCAUGGAACCUGUCUUACUAUCCCCACAAAUACAUUCUUAUCGAGGACAAGUUGGAGGUUUCUUUUUAUCCUCAAGUGGGUUAUUCCUUCAUCCCUUUAGCUUGUUUCAGGCUGCGAUAGGGAGCCAUUCCGUCGUUUGAGGAUAGAACUAGUGAAGUUUAGCGAGAUGUGGUCCCUACAUGGUUUUUGGCGAUUCUAUUUCGAAGAGCAUAACCUAAAUGGUGCAGCUCUAGCAGAAGUAGCAUUGUUUUGUUAUGUGACGAGUUUUGGUGCUUGGUCUUCAUCAUACAAUGCUUGGCCUUGGAAGAUUGGAGAUCUUUUAGCAAAGUUAAUGCUCGAAGAGGAGCGGUAACCUCUGUCGUAACCAUUUUUUUUGGUAAAACGAGUAUCGACUUGAAUUUUGAUAAUGAAAAUAAAUAGAGGAGUCGCCACCGAUCUUUUUUGACGAGGUGUGAUCGGGUCACCUUUUAAAAGUGGUUGUUUUUAAUAAAUUGUUUGAUUUAUUUAAACAACAAUUUUGGUCUUUGCAAAUCAAGAAAAUAAGUUCGAGAGUCAGUUACGCACGAGGAAAGAUUAGCACUUUCGAUACGCCCAAAAUUGGUACCUAGUUGAUUAAUUAGUGUCUUAAUGUCGAAAAUUUAAAAACUUUAAAGAAUUUUGAAAUACGAUCCCUUUUUUAUAAAAAAGUUCAAGUGUUAAAAACCUUCUCGUCUCAAAAUAUGAAAUAUCACAUCUAGUGAGUUAGGACACGACAUCUUAAAUUUUUGAGAGCGAGCUUGCCUUUUAUAUAAAACUUACGUAUUUUAAUUUGUAGAAGGAUAUUCGAUUAUUUAGAGUAAACGAGAAAAAUCGAAACCCAGUAAGUUAGGAUACGUUUUCCCGAGCUCUUCAAACACCGAAUAUUGCCUUUGUUUUAAAACAAAUUCAUAUUUCGAGGUGACGAAAUGUCAUACCCGGUAAGUUAGGGCACAACACUUCGUACCUCCGAGAAUGAGCAUUUUCAAAACUCGUAUAGCAAUUUAAAAGAGUAUUCCGUUAUUUAGAUUAAAUGAGAAAAAUCAAAACCCAGUAAGUUAGGGCACGAUUAUCUCGAAUUACCAAAUACGGAAUAUCACUUUUAUGAAAGAAUUAUUUUAAGGCAUUGAGUAAAAACAUAAUGUAAUUUAUAGUAAUACAUAAAAGCAGAUUAUGAUAUUAAUAAUAACGUAUAAUAAUGAGUGAUAAUAACGAGUAAUUAUGAAAAGAUGACAUAGAAGUAAGGUUAGUAAUACGUAAAUAUAAAAAAAUACGUGAGAAAAAUGAAAUGAUCGAAUACAUAAGUAAAUAAAGGAAAUAUAAAACAUGAUAGCACAAAAAUGACAAUAAUGAUGAAAACGAUAAUAAUAAUAAUAAUAAUGUUGAUAAUGAUAAUAGUGGUGGUAAAACUAUAAUAUUGAUGAUAAUAAAAAUAAUAAUAAUAAGAGUAUUAAUAUUUGUAUUAAUAAUAGUGAUAAUAAUAAUAGAAAAUAAUAAAGGAAUGAUAUUAGUAAUAGUAAUAAAAAAUGAAAAUAAUAGUAAUAAUAAUGGUAAAUACAAAUAGUAAUAACAAAAUACAAAUAAUAAAUAACCUAAAGUUUAAAAUUAUUAUUUAAAAAGAUAUAAAUAAAAUAAAUGAUGAAAUAUUAAUAACAGGGGUAAGGACAUAUAAGUAAAAUAAAUGUGCUAAAUAUAUGUAUUAAAUUAGUUAAUAUAUAAAAAAUAAUAAUAAUGUAUAGGUAAAUACAAAAGAGGAAAAUAUAAUAACAAUAAUAGUAAAAAUACAAUAGUAAUAAUAGUAAAAGGUGUAACAAUAUAAUAAUAUGAUGGUAAUAAAAUACAAUAAUAAUAUAUUAAAUAAUAAAUAAUAAUAAUGAUAAUAAUAUAGAAAUAUGAAAAGCAAAUAUAUUAAAUAUUAAAUUAAAAUAAUAAAAAUUACUAUAUAUAUCUAUAUACAUAUAUAAAAACAAACACAUGAUAAUAUGUACAUAAUAUAUCUAUAUAUAUGUAUGUAUUAGAAAAUAUAAUAUAUAUAUAUGCAUGCAUUGUAUUUAGAAGAAGAAAUAUAUAUGAUGUAGUAUUGAUAUACAUGCAUAACAUACAAAUAUAUUAAUAAAAAGAAAACAAUAAUAUCAAACUAUUAAUAUACUAUAUAACAUACAUACAUAUAAGUAUUAAACGAGAAUGAUACUAAGGCUAAUAAAUAAUAAGUAUGAUAAUAAUAAUAAUGAAAUAUAAUAGUAUGUAUAAUGUUAAAAUUGAAAUAAAAUAAUGAGCAAAAGUAAAAGAGGGACGAAAAUAAAAAAGGAAACGAAUUUUGGGGCAAAUUUCAAAAUAAAUAAAAAGGAAACGACCUAAUUGCAACAGGAACACGGCCUAGAGGUACUAAAAGUGUAAUAUUCCCCCCGGCUCAAAGUGUAACACGUGGCCGUGGACCAAGUUGAAAAGCGGGACAAGUUUCAGGGCCGAAUUUAAAGUAAAAAGACUUGAUUGUAAAAGCACGAAAAAGCGGAGGGGCCAAAAGCGCAAAUAAUCUAUUCGCUUCAAAAACACGCGGAUCCCAGGUCGACGGGUCGGGUCAGCCUGCUCCACCCCUAAACGGCGCCAUUUUGCACCUUGGGGGGGAGGGCCAAAACGGUACCGUUUGGUACCCUUAUAUAAGUCAAACAUUUGUUUUUUUUUUCAUUUCCUUCUUGCUUUAAAAAAAAAAACUUCUCUUCUCUUCUUUUUCUCUGCAGGUGCCCUAGGUCCGGCCAGCACUCCUCGCCGUCUGUCGCGCUCUCCGCCGCCGGCGCCGUUGCCGGCCACCUCAAAAAGAGGUAUAUUUCUUCUUCUUCUUUUUUUCUAUUAUUAUUUUUGUUUACAAUAUAUGUAUAUAUGCGAAUAAAAGGGCGUGGAAAAUAGAAAAGAAAGAAAAAUAAAACAAAUCGAAAGAAAAUGAAAUCACCUUUGUUCCUCUGAUUUUUGAUUCUAUGUUUUCGUUUCUUUUUUUAAUGUUUUUCUCUUGAUUGGAUAUUUUGUGCAUUUGACUUACUGAUUUUGUGUUUUAAAAUCAAGUGCUUCUUUUUUAUUUCUCACCAAAAAGAACCGAAUGCUUUUUACAAUUUCGUUUUGGUUUAUAUAUUUGUGCACACUGCUCCUUUUUGCUUUCUGUCUUCUCUCGUUUAAUGCUUGCAGGUGAAUGGCGGUGGACUUGACCUGUCGGUGGGAGCAGAGGCGGUGGUGGAUGGGACAGGGAGCAAGUGGCUGAAGCAGCUUAGGGCUUUCUUAGCUUUUUUCUUUUGUUUUGUGUUUGGGUUGGGCUAGGGUUUUGAUUUGUUUAGGCUAAGGAUUGUGGUUUAAGCUGAGUAUUGGGUUUGUGGGUAGGUUAUUUGUUUAGUUUGGGUUUGGGGGUUUUGGGCCCAAAAUUGGGCUUGUACAACCUCCAUAUUUCGUUUGCCAAUAUGUGCAUAAACAUUUGAAUGCUAAACUUCCUGUCACUCAACCCAAAGAAUGAGGGAAACAUGUCACUAAAAGCCUUACGAAGACCCUUGAUACAUGUAUAUCUAGGCCUUUCUCUUGUUUGCAACAUUUCGUCAUUUCGUGCCUUCUAUUAUUCUGACAUCUUUCUUAUUAAUGCUUCCUAUGUGCUGAUGGAGCCGUCUUCAUACCUAAUCAUGAGGCUUGUACAACUAUCAGCAAAGACUAAGCGGUUGAAGCAAAUUAAUUAGAGGCUCUCUGAGGGAUCAAAAGCAAAGAGUUGCUAGUUGGAAGAAGCGAUAAUGCUAAUAGCUAUGCUUAUGUGAAGAAAGCUCACCUGGUUGAAAAUUAAGUUCCAUAUCUAGAGGUCGAGAUAAAAAUUUUGAAAGGCAAUCUCAUGAAGUUGCUAGAAAAAUUGAUAGUAAAGGAAUCUUAGAAGUAUGACAGAAGGUUUAAAUUUUUGAAUACUUAAAAAGUUCGAAUCUUACCGUAUACAAAUAUAUAUAGAUAGAUAAAUAGAUAGAAAUAGAAAAAAAUAGACUAAAACUGGCAUCUAUUAUGUCAUGUCAAUGACAAUAUGAAAAUAGAACUGAGAUCUAGAUAGAUUAUGCUGGAAUAGAGCCACUUUAAGUUCAUAUUGGUCAUGGGUUAAUAACAGGAACAACAAUUAUGAUAUAUGAAUUUUCAAUCUCAUAAACGUGCAUAUAUCAUGUGUAAAUUUUGUCCGAUUCUUUCUAAUCAUUUGUCAUAUAUUUUUACUUGCACUGAUAAUAUUAAAAUCACUUGUAAAGUAUUGUUUCUCCAAAUAUAGACACUACUUUUUUUUUAAUAAUUUCAUUAUAAGUUUAGACUCUUUUCAACUUGUGUUUUAGUAUAUUUAAAUUCAGAUUUUUCUAUAUUAACAAAAAUAUUAAUAUCAAUCAAAUUAAAAUUCAAUUAAUUACCAAAAUCUUUUACUUGUCUGUAUCUUUAAUAAUAAUAAAAUUAUUAAGCACUUUUCUUUUUGACUUUUCCUUGUAAUAAAAUAAGAAAUAAAUAUUGUAUUGCAAAAACAACAAAAAGGGUAUGUAAUAACUCAAUUAUAUGGUCAAAUAUGAUGAUAAAUAGCGUACAUUAUUUAUGGCUGUCAUGUUCUUAGAGAACAAUCUAAGCCAAAUCCAGUAACCAGCAAAGAAAAACACAUAAAAAUGAUAAAUUUCAGACAUGAAUCACCAUUCAUAGACCAGAGUCAAUUCCAUUUCUUGUUCUUGUUCUUGUUCUUAACAAAGCUGUCCACAAUCUGCAAUAACGACAGGCUUAGCAGUUCUUCCACUGCUAGACCCAACUUUUUCAAUGGCUUUAACCACAUCCAUACCUUCAACAACUUGACCAAACACCACAUGCAUCCCAUCGAGCCACUCGGUCUUAGCGGUACAAAUAAAGAACUGAGAUCCAUUCGUUCCGGGACCGGCGUUCGCCAUGGAUAGUAUGCCGGGUCUGGUGUGCUUCUUGAUGAAGUUCUCGUCGGCGAACUUAGAUCCGUAUAUCGAUUCACCUCCGGUUCCGUUUCCGGCUGUGAAAUCACCUCCUUGGCACAUGAAAUCAGGGAUCACGCGGUGGAACUUAGAGCCUUUGUAGUGGAGUGGUUUACCGGAACGACCGACGCCUUUCUCACCGGUACAGAGUGCCCGGAAGUUCUCGGCAGUACGAGGAGUGACGUCUGCAAAAAGCUCCAUCACGAUCCGGCCGGCCGGUUGACCUCCGAUCGUCAUGUCGAAGAAAACCUUGGGAUUUGAAGCCAUAGUUAAAAAAAUACUGAAAAUUGGUUUAUUUUUUGGAUUUUGUUUUGGUGGGUUAGUGUGAGAUUUAAGCUAAAGAGAAACUGGUUUAUAUAGAGAAGAUGAAUGAGGGUUGACCUGCAAACAGGUCGGGUUGAUUUUUUAAUGGAUCUAAUUCGGGUGUGGUCAUCCAUUUUCUUUUUAGUCCUUCAGUUUUACUUUAAUGCUCAAUUUGGUACUUAAGUUUAGUUUCAAUGUUCAAUCUAGUAUCUAUGCCAAAAAAUACUUAAGUACUAAACUGAGGCAAGAAAAAAUCAAAUUUAAGUACUUAAUUUGAACAAAGAAAAGCCAAAUUCAAGAAUCAGAAAAAGUUUAGAUACCAAAUUAAACAUUAAAAUGAAACUCAUGUACCAAAUAAUAUAUUAAUUCUUUUGUAGUUAAAGCUAAAAAAUUAGGUAGAUUCUUUUUAUAAAAAAAAUAGGUAAGUCAAUUUAAUCUUAACUCGAUUGGCAUGAUAUUGUUGUCAAUACAGGAAGACGUGAGUUCAAGUGGGCUAAGUUGGAGAGGGACUAUGGGUAGUUUUAAACAUUAUGUCAAAAAGAACAGAUAUGAUCAAAAUGUAUAACGAGAUUAAUAGCAAAAUUGAGUAAAGUUCGAUCUCACAAAUUAAAACUUGAAAAUUAUUAUAUGAUAUUUAACUUUUUUUUAAAUAUCAAUUAAAAAUAUAUCUCAUAAUUAUUUAAUUCAUAUAUAGGAUUAAAAUAUAUUCCUAUUGAUGUACCAAAUAAUUAGGUUAUAUUAUUAUCUCUUUAAAAAUGAAAAUUUUAAUUAACAUUAAAUUAUAUAAGAUAAAUACCUUAAAAAAACCUCUCUUACGAAAUAAUUUAUAUUUUAUAUUUAAAAAGUUAAAUGAUAAAAUUGUGGGUCAAAAUUGGAUUUGAUUCACAUUAAAUUUGAAAUAAAUUCGAUAUACGAAAAAAAAGAAUAAUUAUUUAAAAAGAAAAAAGAAGUAUCAGAUGCGAUACGGCAGAGUUUUGUUGGACCAUUUUUCCACUAUAAAAUAAUUUUAAUAAAAAAUAAGUUAUCAUUAUUGUUAAAAUGCAUAAAUAAAGUUACAUAAAUGUUAAUUAAGACCGAGAUGCCCCUUCUAAUCUAGCGUUAUACACACGCACGCUAAAUGCGGUCCAUUUUAUUUUAUUUUGAGGGAUUUUUUUUUUACGCUACGUUAAAUAUUAUAGAAAUUCAAGUCAACAUUAAGUAAAUUUAUUCAUGAGCCAAAUUCAAUUGGGCUCAAUUAAAAUCUUAAGCUCAUUUGUUAGGUCUGUGUUCGGCUUGGGCUCGAAAAAUGGGCCUAAAAGAAUUUACUCAAACUCAACUUGAAUAAAAAAUACUAAUUUUUUUAAAAAAUAUAAUACAUCAAAAAUAUUAAAAGCAUUAAAAUACAUGUUUACCAAUAGAUUAAUAAUAAGUUAAAUAUAUAUAUACUUAAAUAACACUAAUAUACGCCCUUUAAAAAUUUUUAAAAUUUUAAAUUAGUAAAGGUAAAAUUACUCUUUGGUCCCCUAAAAUUAUAAAAAUUUGACUUAAUCCUUUAAAGAUUAUAAAUAUAUAGACUAUAAAAAAUUAAAAUUUCAUUAAGCCCCCCUAAAAAAUUGUUCUGGCUUUGCCCCUGUCUAAAAUAGUAACAAAAUUAACAAUAAAAUAAUAGUUAUACAAUAUCUAAAUAAUAGCAACAAAAUAGUUACAACAUAAUAGUGAAGCAGUACUAAAAUAGUAAGAAAACAACAAGAAAAUAGCAGCAAAAUAAUAAAAAACAACAACAACAACAACAAUAAUAAAACAGCAAAAACACAACCAUUUUUUUAUUUUUGCAAAUUCGGGCUAGGUGGAGUCGGGCUCAAGCCGAAAAAGCUUUACCCGAGGUUUGACCUGUUUUCUAAAUAAGCCUUACUUUUUGUUGCCCAAGCCUAUUUUUUAGGCCUAAAUUUUUAUCUAAACCUUCCCACUUUUUGAGUCAGGCCACAAGUCUAGGACUAAGCAACUUUGUUUAAUUUUUUUCUCUAGUAUAAUGAUUUAUUUGACCUUUUAAUUUAUAAAAAAAAUUAUUUUAGUCUUUUAUUUUAUUUUUUACUUUUUAUUUUUUUUUAGCCUUUAAACUUGUAUGAUUUUUCAAAUCACCCAAAAUAGAUGGAAAAAUUAACAUCAAUUAAAAUUUUAAGUUUUAAACAUUUCAAAAAAAUAAAAAUUAGUAAAAUUAUUAAAAAUAUAUAAAAUAUUUUUUAUUUAAAAAAAAUAAUUGCUAACAUGGCAAUCCACGUGUUUGCCACAUUAGCAAAUGUAACAAAUAUUAACUUUUCCAUAUAUUUUAGGGUGAUUUGACAAAUAAUAAAAAUGAAGAGCUAAAAUGAUAUUUUUUUGUAAAGUUAAAGGGUCAAAUAAGUUAUUAUGUCUCUUUUUUUUAAAUUUAAAUAGAGUAACAACCUUACUUGUUAACUCAACCCUUAAGGAAUUUUCAUUUUGAUCAUAUAAAAAAAAUUUCUUUUAGUUUCAUAACGGUUGUUAGAGAAAAUUUUUAUUUUAGUCAUUCAACCAUUAACUUUAUUACAAUUUUCGACUUAACCGUUAAUAAUUGAGUGAAUAAAAUAAAAUAAAAAUUCUAAAGGUGACUUCAAAAUUAAAAGGAUUUAUUUAUGAGGGACUAAAAUGAAAGUGCCUAAUAUAUCUUAAAAUUAUUUUAACACAUAAUAUUAAUGCAUUUUGUUGGAUUAUUGUAGUUUUUUUUUUUUGAAAAAUUUCAUUAUAGAUUCUGAUAAUAUCUACUCUUUUAGACAGAAUGUCUAAAACCACUCAUAGUCUCUCCCCAACCCAUAAAUGGGGUGGAUAAUGCGCUUCGAUACACUUGAAUUCACUUUCUCUUGUAUUGACAACAAUACUUAACCAAUCGAACUAAGUCUCAAUCCGUUGAAUUUUAGUUGUAUUUAUAUUGGUCCUUAUUAUUGCAAUAAAAAUGACAGUUUUAUAAUCAGCAACUAAAGAAAAAGAUUCUACAAGCACGUCCAACUUAAUUAAUUUAAACAUUUUCUUAUAUGUUUUACUUAAUUUAUCUCCCCUACGAAGAUAGACCUUUUUUAUUGCAUGCAAUGCUUCAUUAAAUAUUGCAUGUAACACUUCAUUUUACAUUACACCCUACGUACUUCAAGGAUGAUGUGGAGCAAACGGCGGCAACGGCGGCCAUUUUCCGAACUUGGGGUGGUGGAAAUACUUGGGAGGAAGCUUGGGAAGCGGAGGGCACGGCUUCUUAGUAAAUGGAGGAAUCUUCGGAAGAGGAGGAAGUGGCUUGUGAGGAAUAGGAGGGAAGGGUUUCGGUUUGUAAAUAGGAACCGGCGGUGGAAGCGGCUUCUUAUAAACCGGCACCGGAUGAGGCUUAUAAACCGGUGGUUUGUAGACAGGAACCGGCGGUGGAAGCGGCUUCUUAUAAACCGGCACCGGAGGAGGCUUAUAAACCGGUGGUUUGUAGACAGGAACCGGUGGAGGGAGUGGUUUCUUGUAGACCGGCACCGGAUGAGGCUUAUAAACCGGUGGUGGAAGAGGUUUCUUGUAGAUGGGAGGGUGAGGGUAAUGAUGGUGGAAGCUUUUCAAUGGCGGAAGUGGUGGAAGCUUAGGCAAUGGAGGGAAGUUGUGGUGGUGGUGAGGCCAAAAGGAGGCUGAGACACAUGUUAUUGGUGAGAAUUUGAGGUUCUCUUUUAACCCAAACUGGUGUUUCUGGUCGGUGGUGGAUUUGAAAACUAGCUUAGAGGAUUCUAAGCCAUUAAUGGAAGGGCAAGGUUGAGGUGAUGAUACAGUGUGAAGCUGUGCGUAGCAAUGUUCAUUCAAUUUGCCAUCUUUGAACAAGUGUUGUGGAAGAGAGACUUUGAAAUUGCCUUGUUUGUCAAGCUUUCCAGACCCUCUGGUUUUGAAAUGGUCAUCAUUUUCUGGCUUGCAA